rnacentral:rRNA from 1 species
GAUUAAGCCAUGCAUGUCUCAGUACAAUUCGAUAAAUGAAGAAACCGCGAAUGGCUCAUUACAACAGUCAUAGUUUAUUAGAUCUUACUCACUUGGAUACCUGUGGUAACCUAAGAGCUAAUACAUGCAACAAAGUCCUGACUUUGCGGGAAGGACGCAUUUAUUAGAAUAAAACCAAUCGGGCUUGCCCGCACUUUGGUGAAUCUGAAUAACUAUGCCGAUCGCACAGUCCUCGUACUGGCGACGUAUCUUUCAAAUGUCUGCCUUAUCAACUUUCGAUGGUAGUUUACACGGCUACCAUGGUUUUCACGGGUGACGGAGAAUUAGGGUUCGACUCCGGAGAGGGAGCCUGAGAAACGGCUACCACAUCCAAGGAA